rnacentral:rRNA from 1 species
GAUGAACGCUGGCGGCGUGCCUAAUACAUGCAAGUCGAGCGAACAGACGAGGAGCUUGCUCCUCUGACGUUAGCGGCGGACGGGUGAGUAACACGUGGAUAACCUACCUAUAAGACUGGGAUAACUUCGGGAAACCGGAGCUAAUACCGGAUAAUAUAUUGAACCGCAUGGUUCAAUAGUGAAAGACGGUUUUGCUGUCACUUAUAGAUGGAUCCGCGCCGCAUUAGCUAGUUGGUAAGGUAACGGCUUACCAAGGCAACGAUGCGUAGCCGACCUGAGAGGGUGAUCGGCCACACUGGAACUGAGAUACGGUCCAGACUACUACGGGAGGCAGCAGUAGGGAAUCUUCCGCAAUGGGCGAAAGCUUGACGGAGCAACGCCGCGUGAGUGAUGAAGGUCUUCGGAUCGUAAAACUCUGUUAUUAGGGAAGAACAAAUGUGUAAGUAACUAUGCACGUCUUGACGGUACCUAAUCAGAAAGCCACGGCUAACUACGUG